UCACUUACCUGGACAGGGUCAAUGGACGAUCAAGAAGGUCUAUGGCCUAGGUUGGUGACCUCCAUUGCACUCAGGAGGGGUGCCCGCCUAAGGUCGGCCCAAGUGGUCGAGCCUACGUCAUAAUUUGUGGCAGUGGAGGCCUGCGUUCGCGCGGCCUCUGC
rfam:Helianthus annuus linkage group 8, whole genome shotgun sequence.